AACAUUAACUAUAUUAAGUUGCUUCAAACGACUCUCAAGUUGUUUUUCGGGUUGAGCCAAUUAAUCAAGUGUGUUAAUAAAUAUUUCAAUCAUUGGCCGAAGCCUAUGAAAUCUAAUCCGACUAUCCGACACUGUUUAACAUCAUCGCCCGGGAUUAUUGAGUAUCAAAAACCCAACAGGUCAGUAGUGAACAAAGUUGGAAUAAUGUAGAUAGCACCAUAGUGAAUUGAGAUUAGAAAGCAUAGACAGGAUUGAGAUACAUUAGACGACAUGCUAGAGGUAAAUAAGACCACACUGGACACUACUGGGUAGAUUCAUCCUUGCGCAGGGGCAUGCUAAUCUUCUUUCGGACAGAGAAGAUUAACAUGGUCCCUGCGCUAGGAUGACCACAUAAAUCAAGAUCAAAUUGGAACCAUACAGGGAGGAUUAACAUGGCCUGUGAAAGGAUGAUCCCGCACAAAUCAAAAAAUGGUCAAAAAAAUUAGACACAAUCGAGAUAAAUUAAAUAGAACUCGAUAAGAUUGUGUUGGAGAAAUUUUUAUUGUGUGUCCAGCAUUGAAUACCAAACAUGCGGAAGUGCGUGCUUGUCGAUUGCUUAAUAGUUGCAAAUAGUUUGCUGCUUCAAAGAUUAAGAUAUGCUGUGUGUUGUUAUCUCAUUAUUGAUUGUCCAUUGAUGAAAAUCAGGAAAAAGUCAUUAUAAAUCCAUUUUAGUUUGUUUAGGCUUUUUUGUUCCAAGGAAUGAAGACCCGGAGAAGUCCUAACUUGCUUGCACCCGAGAAAGACAUUAUUUAGGAACGUCGCCAAGCAAAGUGGCAACAAGAUUUUCCUUUCGCUGAAAGAGCACUAGCAGAAGAAUAAUAUCUACCCAUAUAAAUAUCUUGAUUUGGUGAUUGAUUGAUGAAUAUUUGAAUUGUAUCGAAUUUAAUGCAGGGGAAGCAAAAAUUGGACAUAUCUACAAAGAUGAAGUAGUUGAAAAGCACUUAAGGGCUGGAGACAUCCAUAGAAUUGAAGCAGGCUUGGCUUUUUAUCUGAUAAAUACAGAAGAAGGUCGAACACUAAAUACAAUAUGUAGUAUCGACUCAUCUAAGAGCUUGGAAUGGCGCGCAUUCAAGAGGUUUAACCAAUAUUCAUACGGUGCAGUCUUUCUUCAUUGGUGGAGGAACAUAUCCAAUGUCAAUACUUUCAGGUUUUUAUCCCUUAAAACUGUCAACGGCAUUUAAUGUUUCUGUAGCCAAAUUAAAGGAACUGUUGACGCGGCAGCAAGCUGGUCCAAUAAUUUCUCUAUCCAAUUCUCAUUCCCCGAGCAUAUGGACUGGGUUUUUUGGGCCUCGAGCAUCAUCAGAAACAGGCUCACUUAAAGAGAGUUGUUCAUUUGAAGCAAAAAUAUAGUGAAGAAAAAGAACAACCAAAAUGGUCACUCAGAAGCUUUUGAUCUCUGCAUUAGGAAAGGCAGAAAAGAACAAAAUCAACAAAAAAGGUAAAGGGCCCAGAUCUUAUAAUAUCUAUGACAGAAAGCCUGAUUUUAAGAACAACUAUGGAUGCAACAUUGCUUUGGACUAGUCUGAUUACUGGCCCCUGGGAAAAUUGGACACUGGCAUUUAUCUUGUCAAUCUCUCCACGGGCUCGAUGAUGGCACCGCACAUCAAUCCAAGGGUGACUCUAAGUAUGGCAUUGUACUGAGAGGAGCCGGUACAAUUCAAAUUGCAUAUCCUAAUGGAAGUCUAGCCAUGAAUGCCAAGAGUAACCGAAAGCAAUGUGUUCUGUAUUCCAAGAUACUUCCCGUUCUGCCAAGUUGCAUCGAGAUCUGGUCCUUUUGAGUUCUUCGGUUUCACCACAUCUGUGCACCAGAACCGGCCUCGGUUCUUGGUGGGGACAAACUAUUGCUGCGAACCAUUAGAGGGCCUGAAUUUGCAAAUGCAUUUCGAGUGAGUGAGGAGAGGCUGAGCAAGAUACUCAACUCAUAAAGAGAGUCAAUUAACUUGCCAUCGGCCUCCAUCGCACCACCUGACGAGACGGGAUGAGACAAUGGAAAUGGAGAUGGAGAAGUCUGAGAUGGUACCAUGUAUGAUCAGGAGAUUUGGCAAUGAAAUGAUCAUGGGGUUUGAUCAAUAGGCAAGUUUCUAGUAUUUGAGAAAAGGCUGGAGUCCAUUUUCCAAUUGUCUUUCUUUUGUCUCAACAUUUUGAUGAUGUUUUCUUGAUCCUUUGUCUCUGCUGAGGUUGCGAUAAAUAGCACUUCUCUAUUUCUUUCAAUGCAUUACUAAAUAGCCCUCUUCUUAUGGAUUACCUGAAUUGGGUAUUGCAUUUGACAAUCUAAUGGUAGUGUUUUUAGGUCGA